UUUUGUCAAAAUCGUACUGCAAAGAGAGGCACCGCUAGGGUUUCUCUGGCGGCGGCUCAGGUUCUCACAUCGAUGGGGUUCCGCCCAGAAGCCUCAAUCGAUUCUCCGAUGACUUGUGUGCUGAUAAGAGAGAUGUAGCUGAGUAUGGGGUGCAUGUAUUUGCUGGACUCAAGCCGAUCUCACAGCCGCCGAGGAAGUGCAGGCUGCCGCGGAUUGGUGGUGCAAUGAUUUCUGCUCCAUUCAUCAACUGUUAAAUUCAUCACUAAACCAGGACGAUUGGAGUGGCCUUUUCGGUUGCUUGGAAGGAAGCUCAGUCAUCUAACCACAAGAUUUGAAAUUUCAGUUUGUCCUUGGUUCAGCAAGUUUCUGAGACUAAUAAUCUCCAAGAGAUCUUUCACAAGCCACUCUCUACCCAAGCUUUUGGCCAGUUCCAACAAGUUCAAUUAACAUUAGCUCACAUCACUCUCACGCCUUGCUCGCUAGGAUAUAUGGAGCUACUAUUGAAAUUAUGCAACCUUUUCUGCUGCCAAACUUUACAGAGUUCUAAUUCAAGGAGAGAGGGCACACCCCAUAUUUAAGAAGAUUUGGAAAUCAGCAGUGAUUCAGAGAUACCAAAUUUUCUGUUGGUUUCUGAUCCAAGAUAGGCUCAACACAACAAGUCUGCUUCUUAGGAAAUCAUUUCACCUGCCCUCCUACCAAUGUGCGCUAUGUAAUGAGCAAAUUGAGACCACAUUGCACCUCUUUUUGGACUGCUCAUUUGCUCUAGAAUGCUGGCACCUGAUCACCCCUAAUAAGAAGAGGAACACAUCUUUCAUUCAGGAAAUCAUGCUGGCUUUGAAUGAAUUACCAAAUGGAGUGGGCAUGAACAUUGUCAUUAUGAGUUGCUGGCAUAUUUGGAUGCAAAGGAACAACAAGAUCUUUAAGCAUAUAUAUCCAAUCACCACAUCAUGGAAGCUGCUACACAAGAAAGAUUUACAGUUGCUACAUCAUAGAACUAAGCACUAGCUCCUUCAAGUUUUUCAAGACUGGAUUGCCACACGUUUGUAGUCUGAAAGAUCCUUGAGUUAGACAUGUUUCCAAGAGCAGGCAUUGGUUAGAUGGGCUUGGCCAUCUCCUUUUCUUUUUAUCCCUUUUGUACAUACAUUUUUAAUUGCUUUUAAUGAAAAUUACCAUCGAACAAUUGUUAGCCUCUGGCUAAAAAAACAUGCUAGAAGAACUGAGAAGUCGAGAAGACUACAUAAUGUGGAAAGUGAAGAAUCAGACUGAUGGGACCCAAAAACAGAUGACAUUUUGUACAUGUAGUAGUGUGGAUAAUGUUAUUUUUUCUACAAAGAAAGUAGACACUAUUUCUUUCUAGAAAGUGGUCACUGUGAAAGCAAACAAUGUAACAUGAAUAUAUAAGUUUCUUACCGAGAAAGUUUUACUGGAUAUGUAUAGUACAUAAAUAAACUAAAUCACAAAAAUAAAUAUGUGAAUUAUGCAUGGCGUUAGAAAAUGCACCUAUACCUAUAACUACACUUACACUAUGACAACUAUUAAAUUUAUGUUUACAGAAAAAUAUAUAGCUAAGCGGCAUGAAAAAAAGGUAGAAAAAUAAUACAAACACAAUUUAAACAACACGAGUGAUCAUAAAAAAAUUAGUAUGGCAUGCACACUUAGGAAGUAAAUGAUGAAGGGGUAACACAUAUAUUUAUAUAUCAAUAAAAACACAAACGUGUUGAAGAUAGAACUACGUUUGAAGUAGUCUUACAUUUGAAAAUGCCAUCACAUUUGGUUUUCUUCUUCUUCUGAAAAAUCAAAUAAUAUGCUUUCACCAUUUAACUUUAUGAAAUGCUAGUCCCCACAUCAAGCGGGCCACUUUGCUAGUUUAUCUAAUAUCGGUAUUUUAAACCUUGUCGUCCUCAUUCAUGUUUGGAGACCCCAACACGAGGGACCCAAACUGGACGAACGCAAUCUUCAUGGAUAUUAGUAUAAAAUGUUGUCAACUUCAGCAUAGCGACAUGAGCCUCUAAGAUUAUAGUACUACAUUUUCAAACACGUAAAAGUCUGACGAGAGGCAUGAAACCCGCCUGGGCAUGGAUGCGUGAAGCGUGCACAAUCAAAAGCGUCUUUUUCCUCAGCCGCAGGCCGGCGUGAAAUCGCGCACAGCACAAGAAGUCUCGCCACUGCUAUAUUAUAU